GCUGGGUGGUGGGCGGGCCCAGGGAAAUGGGGUGGGGAUGGGCUGGGUAAGACCUGGCCCUCUCCUGCUGCCCUGAAGACCAUCCCAGUCUACCUCGGUGCUGGCCAGGAAACCUUUCGGCUACCUCUCCCACCAUCCCAGACUGUGGGCAGGGGGAUGGAGAGGGAGUGGGCCUGGGGCUGGGACCUCCCUCCAGAAUUUCCUCCAGAUGGGGGCAGUGCCCAGGGAGGGGUUAUUUGUCUUCCCUGCGGUGUAGUAGUAAUCUCCAGCCCAGGCCCUAGGCCUCUCAGCAGGGAAGGGAUCCUCGGGGAGGUGGGUCCCAGGAGCAGACCCUAACCCCAGCCCCCACAGACACACCCCAAUCUGAAAGCCAUGCGUGUCCGUGUAUAUAGGAACCAUGUACAGAGCCCGGAGAAGCCCCCCACAUCCCCCCGGGAAAAAAAAGAAAACUAGACAGAAACUCAUCUAUAUAUUCUGUAUCUGGAGUUCCGUUUUGAAUAUUAACUGUGUUAUUUUUAUACACUUUUUAAGCCUUAACUCGCCAUUGAUUUACCAGUUUAACGUUUCCUGGGGUUUCUUUUCCCAUGGGAUCCUCUGCCCCCACCCCCAGCCCUUUGUUUGACUUGCGUCGUCUGAUACUCAGUAUUGUAGCUUUUUGUCCGCAUGUUACUCCCUGUAAAUACGCUGUUAUACAUACUGUUAACACCCCUUUGCUUUUUCUAUGGGACCUCCAGGCCACCAUAUUUAGAACUAGUUACCUUAUUAAAAAAGAAAAAACAAUCUGUUGGCUUCUCAGUUUGCAUCUCGGAGGCAGGGAGGUGAGGGCAGGUGCCCCUCAGACACUUCAGGAAGGAAGUUUGCAUUCUAUUUAAAAAAGGGGGUGGGGAGCAAAGGAAAAUCAAAUGUUGGGGGAAAACACUAAAGGGGGCAAGAAACAAAGGAAUUACAAAUCCUCUGCUCUUUGUAUUUCUCUGUUGUGAAGAAUAAACUGUACCUGCACCCGG